rnacentral:rRNA from 1 species
AUAUGGUCAAGUGAAGAAGCGCAUACGGUGGAUGCCUUGGCAGUCAGAGGCGAUGAAAGACGUGGUAGCCUGCGAAAAGCUUCGGGGAGUCGGCAAACAGACUUUGAUCCGGAGAUGUCUGAAUGGGGGAACCCAGCCAUCACAAGAUGGUUAUCUUGUACUGAAUACAUAGGUGCAAGAGGCGAACCAGGGGAACUGAAACAUCUAAGUACCCUGAGGAAAAGAAAUCAACCGAGAUUCCCUUAGUAGUGGCGAGCGAACGGGGACUAGCCCUUAAGUGGCUUUGAGAUUAGCGGAACGCUCUGGAAAGUGCGGCCAUAGUGGGUGAUAGCCCUGUACGCGAAAAUCUCUUAGUCAUGAAAUCGAGUAGGACGGAGCACGAGAAACUUUGUCUGAAUAUGGGGGGACCAUCCUCCAAGGCUAAAUACUACUGACUGACCGAUAGUGAACUAGUACCGUGAGGGAAAGGCGAAAAGAACCCCGGAGAGGGGAGUGAAAUAGAUCCUGAAACCGUAUGCGUACAAGCAGUGGGAGCCCACUUUGUUGGGUGACUGCGUACCUUUUGUAUAAUGGGUCAGCGACUUAUUUUCAGUGGCGAGCUUAACCGAAUAGGGGAGGCGUAGCGAAAGCGAGUCUUAAUAGGGCGUCUAGUCGCUGGGAAUAGACCCGAAACCGGGCGAUCUAUCCAUGGGCAGGUUGAAGGUUAGGUAACACUGACUGGAGGACCGAACCGACUACCGUUGAAAAGUUAGCGGAUGACCUGUGGAUCGGAGUGAAAGGCUAAUCAAGCUCGGAGAUAGCUGGUUCUCCUCGAAAGCUAUUUAGGUAGCGCCUCAUGUAUCACUGUAGGGGGUAGAGCACUGUUUCGGCUAGGGGGUCAUCCCGACUUACCAAACCGAUGCAAACUCCGAAUACCUACAAGUGCCGAGCAUGGGAGACACACGGCGGGUGCUAACGUCCGUCGUGAAAAGGGAAACAACCCAGACCGUCAGCUAAGGUCCCAAAGUUAUGGUUAAGUGGGAAACGAUGUGGGAAGGCUUAGACAGCUAGGAGGUUGGCUUAGAAGCAGCCACCCUUUAAAGAAAGCGUAAUAGCUCACUAGUCGAGUCGGCCUGCGCGGAAGAUGUAACGGGGCUCAAACCAUACACCGAAGCUACGGGUAUCAUCUUAGGAUGAUGCGGUAGAGGAGCGUUCUGUAAGCCUGUGAAGGUGAGUUGAGAAGCUUGCUGGAGGUAUCAGAAGUGCGAAUGCUGACAUGAGUAACGACAAUGGGUGUGAAAAACACCCACGCCGAAAGACCAAGGUUUCCUGCGCAACGUUAAUCGACGCAGGGUUAGUCGGUCCCUAAGGCGAGGCUGAAAAGCGUAGUCGAUGGAAAACAGGUUAAUAUUCCUGUACUUCUGGUUAUUGCGAUGGAGGGACGGAGAAGGCUAGGCCAGCUUGGCGUUGGUUGUCCAAGUUUAAGGUGGUAGGCUGAGAUCUUAGGUAAAUCCGGGAUCUUAAGGCCGAGAGCUGAUGACGAGUUACCCUUUGGGUGACGAAGUGGUUGAUGCCAUGCUUCCAAGAAAAGCUUCUAAGCUUCAGGUAACCAGGAACCGUACCCCAAACCGACACAGGUGGUUGGGUAGAGAAUACCAAGGCGCUUGAGAGAACUCGGGUGAAGGAACUAGGCAAAAUGGCACCGUAACUUCGGGAGAAGGUGCGCCGGUGAGGGUGAAGGACUUGCUCCGUAAGCUCAUGCCGGUCGAAGAUACCAGGCCGCUGCGACUGUUUAUUAAAAACACAGCACUCUGCAAACACGAAAGUGGACGUAUAGGGUGUGACGCCUGCCCGGUGCCGGAAGGUUAAUUGAUGGGGUUAGCUAACGCGAAGCUCUUGAUCGAAGCCCCGGUAAACGGCGGCCGUAACUAUAACGGUCCUAAGGUAGCGAAAUUCCUUGUCGGGUAAGUUCCGACCUGCACGAAUGGCGUAACGAUGGCGGCGCUGUCUCCACCCGAGACUCAGUGAAAUUGAAAUCGCUGUGAAGAUGCAGUGUAUCCGCGGCUAGACGGAAAGACCCCGUGAACCUUUACUAUAGCUUUGCACUGGACUUUGAAUUUGCUUGUGUAGGAUAGGUGGGAGGCUUUGAAGCGUGGACGCCAGUUCGCGUGGAGCCAUCCUUGAAAUACCACCCUGGCAACUUUGAGGUUCUAACUCAGGUCCGUUAUCCGGAUCGAGGACAGUGUAUGGUGGGUAGUUUGACUGGGGCGGUCUCCUCCUAAAGAGUAACGGAGGAGUACGAAGGUGCGCUCAGACCGGUCGGAAAUCGGUCGUAGAGUAUAAAGGCAAAAGCGCGCUUGACUGCGAGACAGACACGUCGAGCAGGUACGAAAGUAGGUCUUAGUGAUCCGGUGGUUCUGUAUGGAAGGGCCAUCGCUCAACGGAUAAAAGGUACUCCGGGGAUAACAGGCUGAUACCGCCCAAGAGUUCAUAUCGACGGCGGUGUUUGGCACCUCGAUGUCGGCUCAUCACAUCCUGGGGCUGAAGCCGGUCCCAAGGGUAUGGCUGUUCGCCAUUUAAAGUGGUACGCGAGCUGGGUUUAGAACGUCGUGAGACAGUUCGGUCCCUAUCUGCCGUGGACGUUUGAGAUUUGAGAGGGGCUGCUCCUAGUACGAGAGGACCGGAGUGGACGAACCUCUGGUGUUCCGGUUGUCACGCCAGUGGCAUUGCCGGGUAGCUAUGUUCGGGAAAGAUAACCGCUGAAAGCAUCUAAGCGGGAAACUUGCCUCAAGAUGAGAUCUCACUGGAACCUUGAGUUCCCUGAAGGGCCGUCGAAGACUACGACGUUGAUAGGUUGGGUGUGUAAGCGCUGUGAGGCGUUGAGCUAACCAAUACUAAUUGCCCGUGAGGCUUGACCAU